rnacentral:rRNA from 1 species
AAUCAACGCUGGCGGCGCGCUUAACACAUGCAAGUCGAACGAGAAAGGGAGCAAUCCUGAGUAAAGUGGCGCACUGGUGAGUAACACGUGGAUAUCUACCUCUUGGUGGGGAAUAACCUGGGGAAACCUGGGCUAAUACCGCAUAAGUUCGUGAGAAGAAAGGCGCAAGUCGCCGAGAGAGGAGUCCGCGGUCGAUUAGGUAGUUGGCAGGGUAAAAGCCUACCAAGCCGAAGAUCGAUAGCCGGCCUGAGAGGGCACACGGCCACACUGGCACUGAAACACGGGCCAGACUCCUACGGGAGGCAGCAGUGGGGAAUCUCGCACAAUGGGGGAAACCCUGAUGCAGCGACGCCGCGUGAGCGAUGAAGCCCUUCGGGGUGUAAAGCUCUUUCGGCAGGAACGAUAAUGACGGUACCUGCAGAAGAAGCUGCGGCUAACUACGUGCCAGCCGCCGCAGUAAGAC